AGAGUUUGAUCCUGGCUCAGAUUGAACGCUGGCGGAAUGCUUUACACAUGCAAGUCGAGCGGCAGCGCGGGGCAACCUGGCGGCGAGCGGCGAACGGGUGAGUAACACAUCGGAACGUACCCAAUCGUGGGGGAUAACUAUCCGAAAGGAUAGCUAAUACCGCAUAAGUCCUGAGGGAGAAAGCGGGGGAUCAGCAAUGACCUCGCGCGGAUGGAGCGGCCGAUGUCGGAUUAGCUAGUUGGUGGGGUAAAGGCCUACCAAGGCGACGAUCCGUAGCGGGUCUGAGAGGACGACCCGCCACACUGGAACUGAGACACGGUCCAGACUCCUACGGGAGGCAGCAGUGGGGAAUUUUGGACAAUGGGCGCAAGCCUGAUCCAGCCAUUCCGCGUGAGUGAAGAAGGCCUUCGGGUUGUAAAGCUCUUUCGGCAGGGAAGAAACGGUUUCAGCUAAUACCUGGAGCUAAUGACGGUGCCUGAAGAAGAAGCACCGGCUAACUACGUGCCAGCAGCCGCGGUAAUACGUAGGGUGCGAGCGUUAAUCGGAAUUACUGGGCGCAAAGCGUGCGCAGGCGGUUUUGUAAGACAGGUGUGAAAUCCCCGGNCUUAACCUGGGAACUGCGCUUGUGACUGCAAGACNUCGAGUACGGCAGAGGGGGGUGGAAUUCCACGUGUAGCAGUGAAAUGCGUAGAGAUGUGGAGGAACACCGAUGGCGAAGGCAGCCCCCUGGGUCGAUACUGACGCUCAUGCACGAAAGCGUGGGGAGCAAACAGGAUUAGAUACCCUGGUAGUCCACGCCCUAAACGAUGCCAACUAGGUGUUGGAGAAGGAGACUUCUUUAGUACCGUAGCUAACGCGUGAAGUUGGCCGCCUGGGGAGUACGGUCGCAAGAUUAAAACUCAAAUGAAUUGACGG
rnacentral:rRNA from 1 species